CCGUAGCCCAAGAGAUCGGGAUAACACCUGGAAACAGAUGCUAAUACCGGAUAACAACAGAUGAUGCCUAUCAACUGUUUAAAAGAUGGUUCUGCUAUCACUCUUGGAUGGACCUGCGGUGCAUUAGCUAGUUGGUAGGGUAACGGCCUACCAAGGCGAUGAUGCAUAGCCGAGUUGAGAGACUGAUCGGCCACAUUGGGACUGAGACACGGCCCAAACUCCUACGGGGAGGCAGCAGCA
rnacentral:rRNA from 1 species